ensembl:lncRNA
CUUCUUUUCCGUGUCAUGAUGUCACAUGGACUAUUUUAAUGAUGUCCUUUGUAUCUUUCUUGGCCUUGAACAUGUCAGUUGCACUGCUGUCUUCAGAGGCUCAGAAAGCUCUCUGAUUUCAUCAAAAAUAUCUCAACUUGUGCCCCAAAGAUGAAAGAAGGUCUUACGGGUUUGGAACGACAUGUGGUGAGUAAUUAAUGACAGAAUUUUAAUUUUUUUUGGGUGAACUUUCCCUUUAAAAAUAAGCAGUACUAAUAGUUAGCAGGCACCACUACUAGAUAUUUUUCAUCAUGUGACUUGUUUUUUAAAUCACCAGUUAUUUCUCCAUAUUUGUUUUGGUUUUGUGGACCUUUUGACAUGUAUAGUCAUUGGAUUACGAAAUCCUAGCCUAUUCUAUGGAGCCCAAACACUUCCUUAAUUUCCAUUUUCUCUGUUUUCCCUUCUUCUUUGCGGCGUUUUUGAAAAGGGUAAUUCCUCUGUUACAGGACAUUGCAGAGCUUAUAUCGUGAGGAAUUCCCCCAAUAUAUUUGGCUGUUAUAAAGCAGAUGAUGCAUGGAUUAAGGAAUCGGCUCUGCUGGGCUAUGUCUCACUCAGACACACCUCCAGAGUUCUCAGCAAGCAGAGGUCAGAGAUGUUAUUUACAUUUUCAGACCAGCACUCCAGAUGUCCAUGGGUGAAGAGGUAAAGAAGGGGUGAUGGCUACUGGACUGAACCUUCUUCAAAAGACCACCACCACCAUCAUCAUCAUCAUCACUGUAUGUCACUCUUCAUUUUGACUGAACUUAAGUCCAGAACAAAUUGAGACAUAACCUGAGUAAUUGGUUCCAGGAGACUGUGGAGUGUUCCAGCUGGAGAUCAGGACCUGUGAGACUAGCUGCAACUGAAAAAAACUGUUAUGUUAAAGUCUGUGUGAAAAGGAAGCUGAGAUAGUCUUUUCUUCCCUAUUGUUACAUAUAUCCGAGUGAAACGGUUUAUUGAACAAGAAAAAAAAAAUAGGCCCUUGUGCUGGUGAACACAUCAUCAGAGAAGAGAUGUUUUUGCAAGUGGGAGGGGAGGUUAUUUUGAUUAAAGAUAAUGAGGGCACAU